UGAUCAAACAGACCUAUGACCAAAGGCAGUCCAACUAUGAACAUCCCGACUUUAUUUCGAGUAAUAUCUACCUUGCACAACACUAUCAAUGUUUUCUUUCCCAAAACGGUAAUUAUUCUACGAAUUCUCCUUGUUCGACAAAUGAAACACCUUGAUUGUAGAAAUAUGAACAUAACGAACCAUCAUAAACCAUAAGUAAAACUGAAUGUACUCAGAAAUGAUCCACCAAAUUUCUUCAUUAUGUAACAGCUGGCAGCCAUUGAGAAAAGACUGUAUGCAUAAUAAAUUUCCCCUAAACACUUGCCU